GACGAACGCUGGCGGCGUGCUUAACACAUGCAAGUCGAACGAUGAACCACUUCGGUGGGGAUUAGUGGCGAACGGGUGAGUAACACGUGGGCAAUCUGCCCUGCACUCUGGGACAAGCCCUGGAAACGGGGUCUAAUACCGGAUACUGACCCGCCUGGGCAUCCAGGCGGGUCGAAAGCCCCGGCGGUGCAGGAUGGGCCCGCGGCCUAUCAGCUUGUUGGUGAGGUAACGGCUCACCAAGGCGACGACGGGCAGCCGGCCUGAGAGGGCGACCGGCCACACUGGGACUGAGACACGGCCCAGACUCCUACGGGAGGCAGCAGUGGGGAAUAUUGCACAAUGGGCGAAAGCCUGAUGCAGCGACGCCGCGUGAGGGAUGACGGCCUUCGGGUUGUAAACCUCUUUCAGCAGGGAAGAAGCGAAAGUGACGGUACCUGCAGAAGAAGCGCCGGCUAACUACGUGCCAGCAGCCGCCGUAAUAC
rnacentral:rRNA from 1 species